UAUCCAUUGGACUGGAACUCCUGCUC
rnacentral:piRNA from 1 species